rnacentral:rRNA from 1 species
ACACGUAGGUGACCUGCCCCAAAGAGGGGGAUAACUAUUGGAAACGGUAGCUAAUACCCCAUGUGAUCUCUUGAUUUGGAUAUCUCGAGAUGAAAGCUCCGGCGCUUUGGGAGGGGCCUGCGGCCCAUCAGCUUGUUGGUAGGGUAACGGCCUACCAAGGCUAAGACGGGUAGGGGGCGUGAGAGCGUGACCCCCCACUGGCACUGACACACGGGCCAGACUCCUACGGGAGGCAGCAGUGAGGAAUAUUGCACAAUGGGCGAAAGCCUGAUGCAGCAACGCCGCGUGGAUGAUGAAGGCCUUCGGGUUGUAAAAUCCUUUUCUGGAGGAAGAGAAAGGACGGUACUCCAGGAAUAAGCGUCGGCUAACUACGUGCCAGCAGCCGCGGUAAAACGUAGGACGCAAGCGUUAUCCGGAUUUAUUGGGCGUAAAGCGCGUGCAGGCGGUGUGGCAAGUCGGACGUGAAAGCUCCUGGCUCAACUGGGAGAGGUCGUUCGAAACUACCACACUUGAGGACGGUAGAGGAGAGUGGAAUUCCGGUGUAGCGGUGAAAUGCGUAGAUAUCGGAAGGAACACCAGUGGCGAAGGCGACUUUCUGGACAGACACUGACACUGAGGCACGAAAGCGUGGGGAG